rnacentral:rRNA from 1 species
UACGAAGGGGGCUAGCGUUGUUCGGAAUCACUGGGCGUAAAGCGCACGCAGGCGGAUCGAUAAGUCGGGGGUGAAAGCCCGGGGCACAACCUCGGAAUUGCCUUCGAUACUGUCGGUCUCGAGUCCGGGAGAGGUGAGUGGAAUUCCUAGUGUAGAGGUGAAAUUCGUAGAUAUUAGGAAGAACACCAGUGGCGAAGGCGGCUCACGGGCCCGGUACUGACUAUCAGGUGCGAAAGCGUGGGGAGCAAACAGG